GAAGUUCGCCAGGCAGUCGCUGCAUGCCUUCGGGUAUGUGGAGGAAAGUCCGGGCCCCGCAGAGCAGGAUGCCGGCUAACGGCCGGGCGUCGUGAGGCGACGGAAAGUGCAACAGAAAGCAAACCGCCGAUGGCCUUCGCAAGAGGGAUCAGGUAAGGGUGAAACGGUGCUCCGUGACGCGCAAGCGUGAUGGGGGUCGGGGUGCAAACCUCGGCGGGUAAGAGCCCACCGCAGGACUGGUAACAGGACUGGCACGGCAAACCCCAUCCGGGGCAAGGCCAAAUAGGGGAGUAAUGGCGUGGCUCGCGUCGCUCCCGGGUAGGCUGCUAGAGCUUCACGGUAACGUGUCGCCCAGAGGAAUGACUGCCCGAUGAUCCGGUUUGCGCCGGGUCGUUCGACAGAACCCGGCUUAUCGGCGAACUUCCCAA
rnacentral:RNase_P_RNA from 1 species